rnacentral:lncRNA from 1 species
UUAGAGAUUUUAAAUCAAAUGAAAGGUGCUUGUAUUACAUUUCAACUAGAGUAUUUAGUACACUUGAACUGCAUUUAUAGUGCAUACAUCCUACAAUCUACAUACAUCCCCUUACAAUUAAAACUAAAAAAGAAUAGGAAAAUAAUCUGCACUUGAAGAAGCACGAGGACCACACCUAAACUUCCAUACCACAUAAAACCUCAUACAUCCAUACAUGCAUGAUUUUAAGCAACAAAAAAAAUGAAAAUAAGUAAUUAGGUUGAACUCAGCACACGAGUUGCUUGCUGCUGCAUCCAUCUUCCAUCAUACAUGGCCAUUAUCAUCACGUAUCUCACAUCUCCUCAGUCACACCUUAUUCACUCCUUGCUCACAUGCAUCAACAAGAAACAAAUCCCUCAAAAACACCCAAACACUCACAAAUUUUACCCCUCAUUUUCCCCUCACACAGAUCACCACUCCCAUCCUACUUCCCAUAUAAAAUUCCCUCUCCAUCCACAUUAACACACACAAAAAGACCCCAAUAAAACUCUGCAAAAAACUCUUCCUUAUUCAUAUAUAAACCCCUACAACCUUGAGCAAACCCUUGCACUACCCAAGGAAGAAAGAGGAAGAAGUAGAGAGAGACUCAGAAGAGGAGCUAAGCAUGCAGAACUGAAGAAAAAGAACAUAGAAGGAGUUUACCUAAAGGUUGGACGGUCAUCGGAGCUCUCACCAGAAUCCAAGAUUUUGACGAGGUUACUUUCCUUGCUUUUUAUACUGCUUCUCCUUUGUUUUCUUGCAUAACCGCCCCUAUUUUUCUUCCAAUUAUUGUAAUCUGCGUGUAUUGUUUAAAAAUAGAGAAAAUUUGGGGAUUAAGGUUCAAAUUGGGGUAAGGGAGAUUUAUAUGUUUGUAUUGAUUUUUGUUCAUUUGAAUGCUAGAUUCAGUUUUAGAGAGAAAAAAAUGAGUGAGGUUCGUGUUUGAACUUCUUGGUUUUGGCGUGUUUUUAAGGAUUAUGGGAAAAUGCAGAUGAACAUUCCUAAUGUUCAUAUACAUGGCUCUUCAUUUAACCACUUUUAAUCUGCUUUUAUAUGGAAAGAGAGCGUGAGAAGUGUUUGGAGGAGAGAGAUUAAAAUGUUGAUGAUCGAGAGAGAGGGAGAGAGAGAGAGGGAGGAAGUGAAAAAAUGGUUAUCCGAUGAUGGCUUCUUUUCUUUUCAAUCUCCACCGUGUUCCAGUUACUUAACACAUGGCUCAAUCAGAGCCCAUGAUUAUGCGCACCGGUCAUGUUGACCAGGGGUUCGGUGUGUGCACCCCACCAUAUCACCAUAAGCCCUCAUUUCCUAGCCCAUUGAUCUUGAUGUAGUUUGAUAUAAAGGAUGAGGAUGAGUCAUCACAUUGAAUCCCUCAUACAGGGCCAACAACGCCUUUGUUGGGCCUCCUACAUGGGGCCUUUUGUGUAUAGCACCCCCAUAUUUUAAUUACUUUAUUAUUAUUUGUUUGUGUUAUUUUUGUCGGGCUUCCCAUAACUUUGUUGUUUGCAUAUACUCCCUUUAUCUCUUACACCACCCCUUCUUUUAUUUAUUUCCUUUUACUAUUUAUUCAUUUUUGUUAAUUAAUUUUAUUUGAUUAAAUAAUUAUUUGGUAAAUAAAAUUAGUAUUUCAAAAGAAUUAAAACCUUGAUCCAAAGUCAAGUAAUUUUUAAAACUUCACCUCCCUUCGCCACUAAUUACAUACUUUUCUAUUCGAUUCUAAUUCAACACAAAUAAAACCUUGAUUCAUAUCAAGUUUAUUUUAUAAACCAAAUCCAAAACUUCUAAUAAUAUCAAAUAUUUUUCAUAAAUAAGAUGAAAAAUGAACGGUU